GGGCUGCUCAGGCGAACUGACGCCAUGACGGAAAGUUCGCGGUCGCUCCGGAUACUUGAACCUGUUUCAUGAAGACGUUUGGAGGACGAGAGGAAGAAGGAGAGACAAUAAAAGAAGGAACUGGAGUUUCCUGUGAGUUAUAAGGAGGAGCUGCUGAGGCUCUGUGGGAACUAUAGAGGAGUCUUCAGUUGAAAGGGCCUGCAGGAAACACAGAAGAGUCUUCAGGUAACUCCACUAACCCUACCGUCGUCCACAGGGACUUUGGCUCAAGAGUGUUUGUGAACUACAGAAGAACUACAUACAGUAAGUCCACAGUAUAUUUAGUUUCCAUAUCAUUACUAGUAACCAUUCAUGAGUGAGACAUUUAAAAGUCUUUAUUUUUCUUUCAGAGAUCCAAAAUGCAAAAAAAAAGAAUAAAUAAAAUAAUUAAAUAAAUA